GCUGGGCGUGGUGGCGGACGCCUGUAAUCCCAGCUACUCAGGAGGCUGAGGCAGAGAAUUGCUUGAACCCGGGAGGUGGAGGUUGCAGUGAGCUGAGAUUGCACCACUGCACUCCAGCUUGGGUGACAGAGCGAGACUCUGUCUCAA
rnacentral:SRP_RNA from 2 species